UACGUAGGCAGCGAGCGUUGUUCGGAGUUACUGGGCGUAAAGCGUGCGUAGGCGGUGUCUUAAGUUUGUUGUGAAAUCUCCCGGCUUAACCGGGAGGGUGCGGCGAAUACUGAGAUGCUGGAGUGCCGGAGAGGUAAGCGGAAUUCCUGGUGUAGCGGUGAAAUGCGUAGAUAUUGGGAAGAACACCGGUGGCGAAGGCGGCGAGCUGGUCCAUUACUGACGCUGAGGCGCGACAGCGUGGGGAGCAAACAGG
rnacentral:rRNA from 1 species